rnacentral:rRNA from 1 species
AGUGAACGCUGGCGGCAGGCCUAAUACAUGCAAGUCGAACGGCAGCACAGCAGAGCUUGCUCUGUGGGUGGCGAGUGGCGGACGGGUGAGGAAUACGUGGGAAUCUGCCCAGUCGUGGGGAUAACGUAGGGAAACUUACGCUAAUACCGCAUGCGCCCUUCGGGGAAAGCCGGGGACCUUCGGGCCUGGCGCGAUUGGAUGAGCCCACGUCGGAUUAGCUAGUUGGCGGGGUAAAGGCCCACCAAGGCGACGAUCCGUAGCUGGUCUGAGAGGAUGAUCAGCCACACUGGAACUGAGACACGGUCCAGACUCCUACGGGAGGCAGCAGUAGGGAAUAUUGGACAAUGGGCGCAAGCCUGAUCCAGCCAUGCUGCGUGAGUGAAGAAGGCCCUCGGGUUGUAAAGCUCUUUGCCCGGAAAGAAAAGCGCCGGGUUAAUACCCUGGUGUCCUGACGGUACCGGAAGAAUAAGACACCGGCUAACUUCGUGCCAGC